rnacentral:sRNA from 1 species
CGCGAGUGGCUAACCCAGCUCUGAAAGGGAAGCAAGACACCUAAAAGCAGCAACAAAAUGCGCAGCGCGGAAACACAGGCGGCGUGUUAAAUAAAAUAAUAAUAUAUAGUCGGUGCAGCUGGCCGUGUGUGGCCGCUGGAAAAACGGGAAAAGCGUUUACACAGUGCUUUUUAUUUAGCAUUUUCUCCGUUUCGCCCGUGUCUGUGUAUGCGUGUGCUGCGUGCGUGAGUGUGCGUGUUUUUUUUUCCUCAUUUGGUGUGUGCUUUUUUUUUGUACAUUGCGGAGACGCGCUCUUUUUUGUGGCAGACGGGCGGAAAAGAUGAAAAACCGCAGAGAGAGCGGUGAAAAUUGAUGGGAAAAUGUAUAAAGUUUGUUAAUUGAUCGUUUUCGAAAUGAAAGCAUAGAAAAAGGAGCAUCAACGGCGGCAGCAGCAACAACAACAACGAGUAACGAAAAACGGCAAAAUUUUUUUGUUUGCCUCGUAUCGCAUUUUCUCACUCUCUCUCUCUCCCGCUGCGUGUGUGUGUGAGUGUGUGUGUGCGCGUCACAUAUCGACGUCCCUCUCUUGCCACCGACAACAACAACAAAUACAAAACGAAGGAAGGAAAGAAAAAGGGGAAUAAAGUGAAACAUGUUUUUCUGUGGCAACAGCAACAACAUAAGCGGCAGCUGCAACUAUCGGCAGCAACAACAACAGCAGUAUCAUAAAACAUGUGUGGAAUAAUCGCAGCGAAUUGAACAAAGCCCAAAGCCUGGAAAUAAAGUAACCAAAAAAGAGAAACGUCGAAAAUCAAAUCAACACAAACAACAACAACAGCAGCAGUAUCAGUAGCAGCAGUACAGUUUUGUAAACAAAGCGUGGCGACAAUUAUUUACCAUUAUCAAUUGCAAAAAGAAACAAACAAAUUUAAAAGUGCUUGUGAAAUGUUUAUGCAAAAUGUUGAGCAUAGCGGAAGCCAAAAAUUUCCAUAAAACCAAAAGUACACUAACUUGAGAAAAUCGAUAGAUUCUAGCUUACUAAUCGAUAAAGAGAAAACCAAAAAAAA